UGCAGUCGAACGGACUUAAUCGAUUCUUUUAGAUUCGAAGCGGUUAGUGGCGGACUGGUGAGUAACACGUAAGCAACCUGCCUGUUAGAGGGGAAUAACAGUGAGAAAUCACUGCUAAAACCGCAUAUGCCGUGAACAUCGCAUGAUGAAAACGGGAAAAGAGCAAUCUGCUAAUAGAUGGGCUUGCGUCUGAUUAGCUAGUUGGUGUGGUAAAGGCAUACCAAGGCAACGAUCAGUAGCCGGACUGAGAGGUUGAACGGCCACAUUGGGACUGAGAUACGGCCCAGACUCCUACGGGAGGCAGCAGUCGGGAAUAUUGCGCAAUGGAGGAAACUCUGACGCAGUGACGCCGCGUAUGGGAAGAAGGUUUUCGGACUGUAAACCAUUUUAGACAAGGAAGAAACAAGACAGUACUUGUAGAAUAAGCUCCGGCUAACUACGUGCCAGCAGCCGCGGUAAUACGUAGGGAGCAAGCGUUAUCCGGAUUUAUUGGGUGUAAAGGGUGCGUAGACGGGAAGGUAAGUUAGUUGUGAAAUCCCUCGGCUCAACUGAGGAACUGCGACUAAAACUGCUUUUCUUGAGUGCUGGAGAGGAAAGUGGAAUUCCUAGUGUAGCGGUGAAAUGCGUAGAUAUUAGGAGGAACACCAGUGGCGAAGGCGACUUUCUGGACAGUAACUGACGUUGAGGCACGAAAGUGUGGGGAGCAAACAGGAUUAGAUACCCUGGUAGUCCACACCGUAAACGAUGGAUACUAGGUGUAGGGGAUAUUAAGUCUUCUGUGCCGUCGCAAACGCAGUAAGUAUCCCACCUGGGGAGUACGGCCGCAAGGUUGAAAC
rnacentral:rRNA from 1 species